CUACGGGUCGCUGCAGUGAGGAAUAUUGCACAAUGGGGGAAACCCUGAUGCAGCAACGCCGCGUGGAGGAUGACGCAUUUCGGUGUGUAAACUCCUUUUAUAUGUCAAGAAAAUGACGGUAGCAUAUGAAUAAGCACUGGCUAACUCCGUGCCAGCAGCCGCGGUAAUACGGAGGGUGCAAGCGUUACUCGGAAUCACUGGGCGUAAAGGACGCGUAGGCGGGUUGGAAAGUCAGGUGUGAAAUCCUACAGCUUAACUGUAGAACUGCACUUGAAACUUCUAAUCUAGAGUAUGGGAGGGGGAGAUGGAAUUAGUGGUGUAGGGGUAAAAUCCGUAGAUAUCACUAGGAAUACCUAAAGCGAAGGCGAUCUCCUGGAACAUUACUGACGCUAAGGCGUGAAAGCGUGGGGAGCAAACAGGAUUAGAUACCCCUGUAGUC
rnacentral:rRNA from 1 species